UCUUUUACGUCGGGAGCUUGAGAUGUCGUGUGCGUUUGCAGGGACAAUGGCGCCAUCAUUCUCUGUGUCGGCAAGCAGUUGGGAAGAGAAGCCGAGAGGAAGAAAAGAGGCCAAAACCACCAUCGAAAAUACAUAGCAGGAAGUAACUUCCUUUAAUCUUUCUAAAAGCAGAGAAUGCCACCCCAUUGAAAUGGCCAGCAGCCUGGAAAGAUCGUAGAGCCGGAAUGCAUGGCCGAUGAGGCUUUUCUGGCACAGGAGGACCAGAGAAGAGAAUCCAGUAUUGGAUGCUGGGGUGUUUUGAGAUGGGGUCUCUACAUAUGCCCAGCUAGCUGUCUUUGAACCCCUCUACCUGCACCCCGUGUGUCAGCAUGACUAGUCAGGACUCUUAUUGCUGGAUUUAACAUGGGGAUGAAAUUAAAGCUGGGUGAAGAGUAGCAGUGAUUGAGAGCCUUGUGAAGAACAGGACAUUCUAGUAUAUCCUACAGAGUUGAGGGUUGUUUGUGUAUAAGGCAGGGCUCAAAUGCAUUCUUAACUUUUCCAUUCUGUGAAAACCAGAUGAGGUGGUAUAUAGCUGUGUACUGACUGAACAAAAUUGAGUAUUUACACCCGUGCAAAGAAGUUAAACUUCCUGUAAAAUGGGUUAUAUGCCACUUUUCCUUAUCCCACAGUGGUUACUGUGUGAAUGCUGCAAUAAACGUACAGCUGGAAAUAGUUCUCCGA